UAAAACCCUGAGAAAGUAAAACAAAACAAAACA
rnacentral:piRNA from 1 species